CUGUUUAUGUUGUGUAUGUAAACCUAUACUCUAGUUAUUAGUAGUUCUCAUAAUCAAUAAAUACCAUAAAUAAGCCAUUGAAUAAAUACAUGAAUAAAUAGGAAUACAUACAUAAAUACAAUAAAUAGUUUUAAAUAGUGUUGUUAAAAGGAUUGUACGUGAGUGGUUCAUCCGUUUCUUGGAUACCGAUAGUUUGAUCUUCCUCCUUCGCUCUCAUUUCAAUUCUUUUCAGUAAACUCAACUGUCUGAGUUAUCCUAAAUACUUCUUGAAAUCACCUCUUGAACUCAACUCUACUACAGAAUCACUAAUGCCUUGUCCUAGUAGUGAAGCUUUGGAGGCACCAAUUGUGAGCUUUCUUGCUAUGCCACUUUUCUUCUGUUAUGGGACUGUAUGGUAGCCCAUAGCACUGUGUAGUGCUUGUAGUUAUGUUCCACCUUUUGACAAGCUUAAUCAUGUAUGCACAACCAUUUCACUUUAGAGGUAAAACAUCUCAUGAGUUUGGGUGGGACAACAACAAAAGAUAUAAUCUACAGGAUCAUGCGUGAAACAAUCAGCAAGGAUUUAGCGAAAAAGUUUAACUGGAUGGGCAGGGGGCAGAAAAGUCCUUUUUCUGUGUUGCACCUGGCAAAAGUCAUCAUAGAUGCUGCCAAAAAAAACAAGGGGCCACCUUAAUGGAGGCAGAAGAAAAGAUAAAAACAUGGCUAAAAUACAGCGGUGACCGAAAUGGAGGAAGAAAAAGGAGAUCAGAAAAGGAGAGGCAGACACAUUCCCCAUCACAUCCUCCAUCUGACAUCAGCAGUGAAUCCGAGGAAGUGUCUGAAAUAUCUGACAUUGAGCAGAACUGAUUGAUGACCCAUCAACCCUUGAGGAUCUCAUCACAUAAAUGUUUAUUAUUAAAUCAAUAUGUAUUAUUAAAUGUAUUUAUUUUAACCCUUAA